rnacentral:rRNA from 1 species
UACGUAGGGUGCGAGCGUUGUCCGGAAUUAUUGGGCGUAAAGAGCUCGUAGGCGGUCUGUCGCGUCGAUCGUGAAAACUUGGGGCUUAACCCUGAGCUUGCGGUCGAUACGGGCAUGACUGGAGUUCGGCAGGGGAGACUGGAAUUCCUGGUGUAGCGGUGAAAUGCGUAGAUAUCGGGAGGAACACCAGUGGCGAAGGCGGGCUCUCUGGGACGGUACUGACGCUGAGACGCGAAAGCGUGGGGAGCGAACGAGGAAUUGAGAA